GGACGACCUUUUUGAAAAAUGCUGAAUAUGAAUUAUCCCAAAUGAGCUUAUAGUUACCAGCCAUACAUGUGCAGAAGUUUCCUUGGUCAGACUCAUAACGACGGUAAGGUAAUAUUAGAGUCUUUUGCCCAGAAGGAUCCACAUACUCCACACUAAAUCCAACAUCCAAGUUUAUCUUGCCUUGUAUCAACGAGAAAUCCCAAGCUAUGUAUGAGUUUAUUGAGUCCACCACCAAUGAAACCUCAUAGGUUUUCCCAGCUGGAACACUUAUCUCUUUGAAUUCAUCAUUUUUCCUUGCAUCUAGUGUACCAGCAACCUCAGCUGAAAUGAAGAAAGGGGAAUUUACAAAUACCUCACUGAUGAAGGAGAUAAAUCUUUCAAACUCAAGGGUGUAGAUAUCAACAGCUUGUUUCAAGACAGCAGCUUGAUGACCAUUUAAUUUACUAGCCUCAAACCUUCCCCAUGAUAGUGAAAUAAACAUUCGAAUGUAAAGAACCAGUGUUGUAAGGCUGUAUAAAGGUGGUCCAUAACGGUGUCUUUGCUCUUCCAUAGGCCCAUCAUC
rnacentral:misc_RNA from 1 species